CAGCUGCUUGCACUCACACAAACACUCUUAUCAGCACUGAUAAUAACAGACACGCACCCAAGUUCUCUUUAUUUCCACGUCCAUCGUCAACAUGGCUGCAAAACUUCUUUUUCUGGGACUCCUGGUUGUUGCUGUGUUUGCAGAUCCUCAGGAUCAGUCUGGAUUCCCAAAACAGGUGAGACAUUGUUUAACAGAAGUCCUUCCUGUUGCUUUAAUUAUUUAAAUUAUUAAUCAUAGGCCAGAAUGAUAUAAUGUUGCAAGUCCUCGUCUAAUCACAAUUUAUUCACAAUAAAAAAAACGAGCAUUCAUAGAACAGUGUUGGUGAAUACUGCAAACACAAUAGCAGCAAGAGAAAAUUAUUGUUGAGUUGAUAACAAAUCACAAUCAAAAGAAGUGAGUAAAGUUUGUAAAUAUUUAUUUACAGACUUGUACUUCUCAUGAUCAUACAGACAACAUCGGUCACCACAGAAU